rnacentral:tRNA from 1 species
CGCGGGAAAUUGGUAACUCGUUAGGCUCAUAAUCCGAAUGUUGUGGGUUUGGAUCAUCCAACUUCCGCAA